rnacentral:rRNA from 1 species
AGCACCGGCUAACUCCGUGCCAGCAGCCGCGGUAAUACGGAGGGUGCGAGCGUUAAUCGGAAUUACUGGGCGUAAAGGGUGCGUAGGUGGUUUAGUAAGUUAUCUGUGAAAUUCCUGGGCUCAACCUAGGGUGGUCAGAUAAGACUGCUGGACUAAGAGUAUAGGAGAGGGUAGUGGAAUUUCCGGUGUAGCGGUGAAAUGCGUAGAGAUCGGAAGGAACACCAGUGGC